AGGUGCCUUUGUUUCCAGUUACCUGCUGAGUCUAGUCCCGUCCAGGGCACACAGUGGGCGCUUAGUAACUGUAGAAAGAAAUCGAACGAAAUCGGAAGGGGGAGAGGCAGAGGCCACAAUCAAGACACGGAAGAGACAGUCAGUUGAGGCAGCAGAGAGGGUGCCAAGCGGCCAGCGGAGGCGAAGGGCAGCUGUGAAGGGAUCUUGCCACCGGGCGGAGAAGCCGCGCUCCCCACCAGCGCGGCGUGAGGGCGCCAGGCCAGUCAUUCAGGCCACCCUGGGUUCUACCCCCCUGGAAAGACUUCCUUUGGCCAGUGUCAAUCAGUGCCAAAACCAAGAGGAAAACUGAGGAGGAUUUCAUUAUAGAAGACUAUAC
rnacentral:lncRNA from 1 species